rnacentral:rRNA from 1 species
UACGAAGGGGGCUAGCGUUGUUCGGAAUUACUGGGCGUAAAGCGCGCGCAGGCGGUCCUUCAAGUCAGAGGUGAAAGCCCAGAGCUCAACUCUGGAAUUGCCUUUGAAACUGCAGGACUUGGGUACGGGAGAGGUGAGUGGAAUUCCCAGUGUAGAGGUGAAAUUCGUAGAUAUUGGGAAGAACACCGGUGGCGAAGGCGGCUCACUGGCUCAUUUCUGACGCUCAGGCGCGACAGCGUGGGGAUCAAACAGG